rnacentral:lncRNA from 1 species
GGAUGAACGCACACUCCAUUGGAGGCAGCCUUUACAGGGAAGAGUUAAGUUCAUUCAUUGCAAAGUAUUUGCUAGGGGCCUGGGAUCUCUGGCUUUCUGGGUGUGGGGACUUUUAAAGACAAUGGGUUCUCAGGUGUUAUGCAAAUAAAGCAAAGCCCCGGCCCUGUCCCCUAGGCCAGCCGAGACCUCAGAGAGCAGUUCCUCCUGCCUUAAUGGUUCAUUGUUUCCGUCUUAGAGAAGUGGCUGGGAGGGGAGGGGAGGGGUGGAGGGUGGAGGGUGGAGAAGGAACAGUACAGGGUAGAAGGAGGGGAUGGAGAAAAAGAAUGGAGACGAGGGUUCCUGGCUUCUGUUGUGGCGUCUUUUCUAUUUGACUUCAUGGUUACCGCAUGCCCUGCUGCGCCUGCUGCUAACCAAGAGGAACAGCGGCUUCUUAAAUCCUUGCCUACGAUGGUCCAGCAAGCCCAGACGUCCUGUCGCCUUCUCACCUCCUCUGCUGAGAGCUACAGAUCUUCCGAUGACAGACAAGGAGGGGAUGUGCGAAUGGUGUGGCAACCUGAUGCAGUAAGAUUUAUUAGCAAUCCAAUCGAAACAGGAAGAGCUGUGUACAGACAGGAGAAUCAGCUUGCUCAAGGUUACCCACCUGCAUUUCAGGACUGGAGUCUCCCUGUUUGUAUCUUAGCUGAUGAAAUUCAUGCAGACAAGGUUGUCUACUUUGGAUAUCACCAGAUUUGUUGA